rnacentral:rRNA from 1 species
UACGUAGGGAGCGAGCGUUGUCCGGAAUUACUGGGUGUAAAGGGAGCGUAGGCGGGACAGCAAGUUGGAUGUUUAAACUACCGGCUUAACCGGUAUCUGCAUCCAAAACUGCAGUUCUUGAGUGAAGUAGAGGCAGGCGGAAUUCCUAGUGUAGCGGUGAAAUGCGUAGAUAUUAGGAGGAACACCAGUGGCGAAGGCGGCCUGCUGGGCUUUAACUGACGCUGAGGCUCGAAAGCGUGGGGAGCAAACA